GGGUGAAGGAGGACCUUUCUGAUGUGGAUGAUACUGCAUCAGGAACUGAUUGGCUGAUGCUCAAUAGCCAACAGUACCUGAUGCAUUGCCUUCAGCAUCGAAAGAA
rnacentral:pre_miRNA from 13 species